rnacentral:rRNA from 1 species
UACGGGGGGGGCAAGCGUUGUUCGGAAUUACUGGGCGUAAAGGGCUCGUAGGCGGCCAACUAAGUCAGACGUGAAAUCCCUCGGCUUAACCGGGGAACUGCGUCUGAUACUGGAUGGCUUGAGUUUGGGAGAGGGAUGCGGAAUUCCAGGUGUAGCGGUGAAAUGCGUAGAUAUCUGGAGGAACACCGGUGGCGAAGGCGGCAUCCCGGACCAACACUGACGCUGAGUGAGCGAAAGCCAGGGGAGCAAAGCGGGG